rnacentral:rRNA from 1 species
ACGUAGGGGGCAAGCGUUAUCCGGAAUUAUUGGGCGUAAAGAGUGCGUAGGUGGUUUUUUAAGCGUGAGGUGAAAGGCAAUAGCUUAACUAUUGUAAGCCUUGCGAACUGGAAGACUUGAGUGCAGGAGAGGAAAGUGGAAUUCCUAGUGUAGGGGUUAAAUGAGUAGAUCUGAGGCGGAGCAACAGUGGCGAGGGCGACUUACAGGACUGAAACUGUUGGUGGGGCAGGAGAUCGUUUAGAACAAGGAG